GACUAUGCAGACACUGAUUUCAACGAGAAGCUGUUGGGGCACAAUGAUGUACAAUCCACGCUUUCUGCCAAAGGCUGCCUGACCAAGCUCAUGGGUUAGAUUUAGGCGGUGAAGCUAACGCAAGAAGAUGGUACGUGUUUGCAUGAUCAUGAUGCCCGUGGAUAUAAAGAAGGAAGGGAGUAACAUAGACAUACCAUCCAAGCUCGGACAUGGCAUAGGGGAGACCAAGAACGCCGGCACCAACCAUAGCAGUGACGUUGUGGAAAGCGGAAUAGUACCAUUUGGCGUUUCUUGACGCUGUGAUGGGAAGCCAAUCUUCCAGAUCAGUUAAAAAGAGAUGGAGCAUCAUCCCCCCUGAAGAACCACAGCUUCCUAUGAAUAUGCAUGUUGGGCAUCUAUAUUAUAUAUAUCAGCGUGAACGAAUUUUACUACCUGGGGUGGGGCGAGGCUUUUGUUUGGAGGAAUUGGGGUUCCCAUGAUUGCACAAACUUGGGGAAUGUGAUGUUGGAGUCAGUCCCAAUCAUAUUUGUAGUUGCAAAGAACUUGCGUGGGAAGAGAAAGCCAGCACGGAUGUUGACUUUACUAGGUUGACCUCUUCUUCACGAUACAAUCCGAUUGUUCUUGGUGGUUUGGAUACAACAUUAUUUGCAGUUUGUUGUGGAUGCUGAACAAAAGGCCCACUAAAUACCCAAGUUGCCCCAAAAAUGUAAGCCCAUGGGUUUCAUCUGGGGAUCCAAACCCCUUCGAUCGAAGCCCGGCCAUUCAUCUCCGAUCGGUCAAUCCUUGCACCGGAACAACAAUACCAGUUUUCCGAGGGAGCGCUUAGGAUCGUAGAAUGGGAAGGAAAUGCCGAUGACUUUAGCGGUUUCAGUUUGAUGUUAGGUUCAGUUUCUUUGGUUCGUCACAAUGUGGCUCUACUGUAGAAUUGGAGGUAAGUCUUUUUCAUCUUUCGUUUCCUUUUAAACUUUCUUUUCUGACAAGUUUCUAGUUCAUGGGUCUCCUUAUGGCAAAUGAUUUGUGGACUCAGGUGUGAUGCUAGCUUCUUCCAGAUUUUAUAAGAUAACUAACUAUUGAUUGACCUCCCUGGAACUUCAUUCUGCCAUUGGCCUCUUAACUGUCUAUCAUCCUUUCCCUUUUGAUAUGAUGCAGGCUCUGCCUGUUUUUCUUUCUUUAACUCCAGGCUUUAUCUCUCUGUAACUCCAAGCUAUCUAGGUCCUUGAUUGGUGUCACUAGCAGCAAUACUGGUGAAAAGGAUUAAGAAAUGAAGGCAUGAGACUGAUGUUUUCCGUAAUAAACCCUGUGGAAUUGGAGAAACGCUCAGCAUUAGUUAAAAGGUAUAUUGUAUAUGCAAACCACCUAUCGGUGAAGCUUGUAAAAGACAUGUUUCAAUAUUUCAAUUGGUGUUGAUUUUAUGGUGGAGUUCACUGGAGUGUUUAUGGAGAAAGACAGAGCUGCUGCUCCCUUAAAGGGCAAUGCUAAGGAGAGUAAUCCCCCCCUUCCCAUGUUUGUGGUGGGUGUCUAUGUGAAGGAAUACAAGCUUGUUAUUGAUGUUCUAGGAUGUUUGUGCACACCAAUUCUCUUGCUCCCCUACCCUGAGGUUAUAUGGACAAUGAACAUGGAUGACAACCCAAAAGACUGUUGAUGUUCUGUCUAUGAAGAGCUGGAGCUGUUUCCUUCGAUAACUUCUAAAGCAAUACCGCAGCUGCAAAGGGAGGUUGCGAAAAGGAGCCUCAGGUGUCUUUCUUCGUUGGAGAAGUCGAAGCUUAGCCAAUUAUCUUACCUUGUAGUUUGUCUUGUGCAGAUAAGAAGAAGCGAGUUAAAAGUAGGACGCUGAGGAUCGCCGAAAGAGUUAGUUGACGGGGAAAAUAACGGUUGCAUGAGGCCGACGUAAAUAAAACGUACCGUUUGCCCAAAAUGAGAUUCGCAGGUAAACCAGAGCUAAAACGGGCUUCAUCGAUCCGGACAACCACUCUACCAACGGAUCGAUGCCUAUUGCCUAUAAAAUAGCAGUAAUGAAGGCUAGGCCCUUUUAGACUAAGGUUAAGAUCCACUAGGCCCAAGAAAUACAUGCGGAAGCCCCUCUCUGUGUCACAAUAGAGCAGCUUCGGUCCGUUUCCGCCCGCUUAGUUAAAGCUGUAUGCAUAAAUAAGAUUGGUCCAAAUAAGCCCCUAAAAUGUGCUCAAAAGUUCCCCACCUGGAGCGUAGUGGAAGCCCAACAGCAGCCCUGAAAACGGGCCAACCAAUGCCACAACAGCCCAAUAGUGGCCCCAAAACCAUCGAGGCCCAAAAGAUGCCCCCGGCGAAAAAGCAUGGGUGCAAAUAGCACCCAAGCAAUGGUCACACGGUAAGUAUAGUCAACAGUCAUAAAACUCAGGCCCAAAACAGGCUGAAAGGGUCCCUAUAAUGGCCCAACAGGGUCCAAUAGAAGCCCAAUAGUGACCCAAUAAAUUCCAAAAGGUGCCCAACUGCGUCCGAAAAUGGCCCAAUAAUUCCGUCGUAGACCCAUUAACGACCUUAGUGAGGCUUAACAAAAGUCUAACAAGGGCCCAAAAGAAGCCCAAACAUCCUGCAGCCAAUCGAAAACCCAACCGAGGACCACCGACGGCCUAUCACCUGCGCCGACUCAUUAAUUGAGUCGCAGUAGUUUGUCUUUGAAGCAGGAGGCUUCAGGCGCAACUUAUGUUCAGUACCGUUGUCAUAACCUUUUUUUUUUUUUUUUAUGUUAUGCGAGUUAGUCUAUUGGCUGUUGGCACGCCUCCCAGGCGACGGCGAUGCUAUCACGAUGGAACCCGUCAUCCCAUCUUUGUUAACAUUAUGUGACCCCCCGUCCCUAUUUUACAGUGAUACAUCGACGAGAUUAAAAAAACAGAGCACGUAUGAGAUCAACUUAUUACAACGAGCACUAACUAAGAAAAUAUGAAACACAUCACAAAAUGAAAACGAGAAAGCCAUCGGAGAAUUAAUCCAGCUCCUCUCCUCUAGGUGACCUGGGAAAGCCAGUUGACAUGCAAGGGUAAAGCACCGGAGAAUUAAUCCGUGUGAUGGGAGUAGUUCCGCUUGCCUAAUAACUGAGAGCAAACGCCAUCACAGAAUAUUAACAGUAAAACGAAAGUAAGGACAUCCAUAACUGUCCAGGUCCAUGCCUCACAAACUCAAGAAGAAGUGCACAUGAUGGGUUCCCGAUUCCAGCUUCAUCCUGAUCCUACCGCAAUUAGACAAAACUAAAUAACAUAGCAAGAAUUACUCAUAAUCAUUCAUCAGCUUUCCAAACAACUGUUCCUUGAUAACACAUACUGCUCCUAUCCCAACACCUCUAAACUAGGACUAAAGACUGGUGUUAUACUCGACAUUUGCAGAAGUUUAGAAAAAAUAAAAUAAAAGCAACCAGCGUGACGCUUGCAUCAACACAAAAAGGAAAAGACAGGCACCUAGGCAACCAUACACAGAAACCUAGAUAGCUAACUGAAAAGAGCUCAGCUAAAUAGGCCAGUCAAGUCGAUCAAUGGCACAAAAUUCGAAAAAGAUUAUCAUGACACCAAAUGGUCUUGCAAAACAAGCAACAUGCAACAAUUCGAAAAAUAUAUGCAUAAUGGAUGGGUAUGUAAUACUUAAGCUUCUCAUUCACAAUAUGAAUCAUAAAAGCGGCACAGCCAAAGUAAUGCAUAUGAGAUUGAUAGAAGGUGGUUAGAAAAGAAAUAAUUAGUGGUUAUCACACAAAAUGAGAAGGCUCUGACCUUCUAGAGUUAGCACACGAUUAUUCUCCCGUACUUAUUUCUCCGGCUCUGGCAGGUAACACCAAAAAUAAUGCGAGCCAUUGAAACAAAGGAAAAGAUAUCCACAAAAAUUAGCAACAAGAACAGAGACUGUCAGACUUAGACUGCUAAAAAUCGACGUUCAACAACAAGUAUAUAUUCUUUCUCUACGGCUUAGUUUUCUUGGAUCAAUCUAUCUAGUAGGAUGAUCGAUUCAGUAAGCAAAAGAAAUGUUUGGAGGUGCUUUUCCGUAGCCUCUGUUUUGUUUACCUUCAGUUGAUAAUCCUCCAAACUUCUCACCAUAACAUGGGAGUAAAUGUGACGGUUGGCCAUAAUUCUCUUCUUCAGUUCCGGGGGAAAGGAAAUUGAACAAACAAAACAGUGGAGAAUUUUCUUGAUAAUAUCUUCAAAAAACACGGCAAAUAUUGCAGAGAGAAAAUCGGCGGAAAAAGCUUAGAAAGCAAAGAUAUCGAGUAGAAUAAAAAAUUCAACCGACGAUCGAAAAUCUAAAAUCAGCGAAGAAAAAGAGAUGCGGGAGAGGCAUAAUCACCUGAAAACUAAAAAGAUGAGAGAAUCCACGCCGUGCGACCGGUGCUCAUACUGCGAACGAUCCGUCGCGGACUGAUCUUGUUGGGCCAUCCAUUAGAAGAAUCCCUGUCGGCCUAUAUCUCAUGCUUCUCCACCGCCAUGACCGGCGAUCUUCAAUGGGGGGAGGAGGACGAUUUGAAAAUCAAAGAAUCGGAGAGGCAGUUACGCUAAAAGCAGGAAAGGGUUAAAAUUAAAAAGGAAAAGGUAAAAGCCCAACCAAGAGGCUAGAAGGCUCAAGCCCAAAACAGUGGACAUAUUGAUAAACUUCCAGUAGAGAUAGAGUCUUCGCUCUUAAUUGAAGACAAUUAGGGAAGAGCUUCCUGACUCUUGGACCAAGAUUAGUAGUUGCCGUUUGGGGUGAUAUCCU